ACAAUAUAUUAUUUCAAAUGGAAUUUUGUAUCACAUAAAAUUAAUUAUAUUUAAUCAUGGUUGAAUGAAGAAUAUGGUUGUAGAUCCGCUAUCAGCAUUUAUUCUCGGAACUUGUAUCAUAGCUUGUUGGCCAUGCCUACUUCCUUGCUGUUUGGCUCUACCUCUUCUGCCAUACCCGCUUGUGAUCAUCCACGAGCCGAAAGCUACUUCCACUACAAGCCCCCGUCACAGCCCUAUGUGUCAUUUUAAAAAAACUAAACAAAUAUACAAUGUGUACUGCACUCGAAGAGGCUUAAUACUUGAACAUAACGCCGAAACUUGAUCACCUAAUAAAUAUUCAAGAAAUAGUUUUGAUUGUUCUAAUUGGAAUUAUGAUUUCGUCUUGGAUACUACAUGAGUACAUAAAAUAGCAAAAUAAUUCAUAGCAAAUAACAUAAUUAUAAAUAUUUAUAUAUGCCCUGAUCAUUCAGAAAUAAACUUUCAGCAAAGUUUAUUUUAUAAAUUGUAAUGAAUGAGGGAAGCAUUCUGAAAACAGAACGGGCAUAUGCAAAUAUCAUUUAAGGCAAAUAAUAAUGUAACAAUCUCUUACAUCUAAAUACAAAAUAAAAUAAAGUACUAGCCAAAU